UGAAUACGAGACGCUAAGGCGUCGAAGUAGUGUAUGUCAUACUUCCAAGAAAAGCUUGCACUGUCAUAGAUAAAAAACGCCUGUACCAUAACCGACACAGGUGGGUAGGUAGAGUAUACUAAGGGGCGCGAGAUAACUCUCUCUAAGGAACUCGGCAAAAUAACUCCGUAACUUCGGGAGAAGGAGUGCCUUAUUCUUAAGGUUGCAAUAACAAGAUCCAAGCAACUGUUUAUCAAAAACACAGGUCUCCGCUAAGUCGUAAGACGAUGUAUGGGGGCUGACGCCUGCCCAGUGCCAGAAGGUUAAAGAAGCUGGUUAGCAUUUGCGAAGCUAGUAACUGAAGCCCUGGUGAACGGCGGCCGUAACAAUAACGGUCCUAAGGUAGCGAAAUUCCUUGUCGGGUAAGUUCCGACCCGCACGAAAGGCGUAAUGAUUUGGAUACUGUCUCGGAGAGGGGCUCGGUGAAAUAGACUUGUCUGUGAAGAUGCGGACUACCUGCACCAGGACAGAAAGACCCUAUGAAGCUUUACUGUAACUUGAAAUUGAAAUUGGACUUUAUUCGCGCAGUAUAGGUGGGAGGCGUUGAUUAUAAUCUUGCGGGAUUAUUGGAGCCAUUAGUGAGAUACCACUCUUGUAAUGUUAGAUUUCUAACUUUGAAUCAUUAUCUGGUCAAAGAACAGUUUCAGGCGGGCAGUUUGACUGGGGCGGUCGCCUCCUAAACGGUAACGGAGGCGUACAAAGGUUUCCUCUGAACGGUUAGAAAUCGUAUCUAGAGUGUAAAGGCAUAAGGAAGCUUGACUGUGAGACCUACAAGUCGAGCAGGGACGAAAGUCGGUCUUAGUGAUCUGACGGUACUGAGUGGAAAGGCCGUCACUCAACGGAUAAAAGUUACUCUAGGAUAACAGGCUGAUCUCCCCCAAGAGUUCACAUCGACGGGGAGGCUUGGCACCUCGAUGUCGGCUCAUCGCAUCCUGGGGCGGUAGUACGUCCCAAGGGUUGGGCUGUUCGCCCAUGAAAGCGGUACGCGAGCUGGGUUCAGAACGUCGUGAGACAGUUCGGUCCAUAUCCGGUGUAGGCGUUAGAAUAUUGAGAGGAGCCUUCUUUAGUACGAGAGGACCGAGAAGGACAUACCUCUGGUGUACCAGUUAUCGUGCCAACGGUAAACGCUGGGUAGCUAUGUAUGGAGUGGAUAACCGCUGAAAGCAUCUAAGUGGGAAGCCCACCUCAAGAUAAG
rnacentral:rRNA from 1 species